CGGCUGAACUGCUCGCCCCGUAUACCGGGGAUGUGGUUGCGGAAGGCUUUAGUAAAGUAUUCCGCGGCGGUGCUCGUUUUCUUCUGCGUGGCGCUCAGCGCCAGCAGCGCUAUGUUGCGGAAGCGAUUACCGAAGAGUGGCGCCUGGCGCCGGGUCCGCUGGAGCUGGCCUGGUUUGCUGAAGAAACCACAGCCGUUGAGCGAGCGCUGGCCGCGCUGGAAAAACGGCUGGAAACGCUGGAGGGCAAAUGA
rnacentral:sRNA from 1 species